AAGAUCACUUACAAAGUUCAAAAUUUUCAAUACCUAAUAGUAAAACUGGCGGCCAGUGCUAUAUGGCAUUGGUUCUGCUUAUGCAGUUUUCAUGCUAGUUAGCACCUGCCUGAUGAUGCAAGGAAGGAACAUCGAGUGAUGAAUAAAGAAAUAUGGAGAAAUUUCUUCAGUAUUUCUUUGAAGGUUUUACUCUUAAGUAGCAGACUCACGGAGCAUUUUGAAAGCUUGAAGAUUAAGUGUUGUGUAACUAAAAGAACCAGUGAUUUCAACAAGGAAUAUGGGGAUUUUGAAAUCAGGCUGUUAGAGCUAGUCAUAAACAUUAGUAAAUGUUCUGAAAUUAGUUCUGUAGAUGGGGGGGGAGGGAAAAAGAAAGAAUCAAAAAUGGUUGGAUGUUUUACUCAUGUAUUAACUUCCAGACUUUCUCUAGAGCAUGAUAAGGAAAUUACCUAGACGUUUUGUCAGCUAAUUUUCGUAUUGCAAUUUAGUUUUUUUUAAUUUUUAUUUAGUUUUUUAAAAAUAUUUUUAAUUUUUUUUUGUAUCUUUCAUUUGCAGAGGAUGAAAUUUAAUGAUCUGUUUUUUCUCUCUUUUUCUUUUUCCCUCAAGUUGAUUUCUCAAUUGUGUGAUUCAUUAAUACUGGCAUUUGAGUCACAGAUAUGCUCUUAGGCACACCUGAUGUAUUUUACUUAUAACGUCAGAGUUGUGACUGUUUUUAAUGACAUUUCUCUGGCAGUAGAAACAUAAUUUAAAGGUGUGUUUGUAAGACUGGCUUAUUUAGCCAACCAUUUGGUAUACACCUUUUGCCUGGUAUGUUUUUCCACUCAACUGUUCAUUGCAGCUGUUCGGUAUUGAUUCCCCAGAAAACUUUGUGCAAGGCAAACUUCAUCUAAUUAAAAUAACUACUCCAGAGUUUGGUAGAGCAACAGAAAUAUUCCUUAAGCAUUCUGGUAACUUGAAAAGUACCACUAAAACAUGCAAUUUAAAAACCAACCAACCAACCAACAAGGAUAUCAUCAUGGACUUUCUAGCAGUUGGAUCAUUAUCUCAUCUGCCUUUUAAAACUCUUUUGGUUCAGCCUUAACAUCUGUACUUGCUAUAUCAAAACAGCAGUCUUCCCAGGACAAGAAUAGCAUUUAUUGUAUGUACCAGGCUUAGCACUUUUUGGGUCACGGAAGUACUUGUCCAUAGUUUGUCUUACUGAUGCACUCUUCUGGAGUCAAAAUGUUGCCCUUAACAUAUUGACUUAAGUAUUUGCAAGUUUCUGGUGCUUUUAUGGAAGUGUGAAAUUGCUGCAGUUACUUGGUAUGGAAAACAGGUGAGCUGUGAGAUGUUCUACUGCCAUAGAUUAAAUUCCACCUGUGGAGGAACUGUGGUAAUGUAUGGCCUUUUUCCAAAGAGUAUACAGAACUAACAGCUGAUUUGGAAGUCUGUGCUUUUGUAUGUUCAGCCUGAGGUUUGUAACCACUUGGUGUCUUUGUUUUUUGUUUUUUUAACCUGCUGGCAAUUGCUGUCCCUUGUCCUCAAGAACCUGGUCUUGUGUUAUAUAGUAAGUGUGAAUGUCUAGUGUUGCAUGAUGGUAAAACACCAAAACCCCAAAAUGGAAGAAACAAGUUGUUGAUAGCUCCGUGGUACUGCGUGGUAAGUGUAGUAAGUCAUAUAGAUCACCCAGUCAGUGAGUGAAAUGAAUGUUCUGUGACUUAAAAUUGUGGUAACAGCCCACUGAAAGUAGGUUAUCAAAAUAGAAAUGAGCAUUUAUUUUCACUGUGCUUCAUUCAGUGGGAACAUGAAGUGCCGGCUAGCUGUCCUGUGGACACUUCAGUAAGAAAAGCUGCAGCCUUUUCCUUUUUUGUGUAUGCAACUUCCUCUAUUCUAAGAAUGUUUUUAUGUGGCUUGCCAAAAGAGUUUUGCAACACUGGAUUUUGUCCUUAGAAAGUAGGCCCCAUAACCUCCAAAACCUUGCGAUGUUUCUUCUUUGAUGAUUAGCCGUGCUUCAUGGAGGCUGUAUCCUACUGCUCAGCUGAAUGCAAUGGUUUCUGCUUUGUAGUACAAGAAUGUUAGAGCAGCACUGGCAUUAUGUGGCAGGAUCAAAAAUUUGGCUCUUUGUAUUGUGGUUGAAGUACAUGAGAUGCGUUAGGAUGUUCAUGCUGGGACUGGUACUGAGGGACAGAAAUAACCUACUGUGUGCAGAGCAGAGCAGCAGCAGACACGUGCAGUAGAUUUUGAUCCUUACACUGUUAUCACUGCAUGUAGUGCAGCUGGCUAGCUAACAAACAAACAAGAACCUAACUUCCUUAGAAUUUGGUUUUUAUGUUGCCGACAGACGGCUUCUGGUUUCAGGGUAGGGUCUUGAAGUUGUAGCCACUGGGUUUUUCUGGUUUGCUUUUUCUGAUAGGUAUGUGUCAGUGUUUUUGCAGGUUUCUGUGGUAAAGCUCAGUUGAGCAGAAGCAGCAAAAACUGCUUUUGAUAGCAGGAAAGAAAUGAAAUCUUGCAUUCAGCUGAAGCGUGCUGACAUGAGGUUAGCUUUAGAUAAAGCACAGCUUUCUCCUGUUCCAGGUAGCAAGGCUGGGGUCAGCCUUUACAUUUGAUAAGUUAAAGAUCUAACUUGGAGGGUUUUACAGUAGCACCAUCUCCAUGUUCCUGCUGAGUGCGUUAUCCUAAAUUAUGAUAUUCUGAACUUCUGCUACUGAAUGAUGUAAUAAUCUAUCAGUGUAAACUAUGAUAACUUAAUAUUUUCCUGCAAGUUAAAGGUUUAUAAAUAAGGAUCUAGAGGGACAUGUUGAAAAAUCAAUUAAAACAGUGUGGGACAGUGUUCUUCAGUGCAGGACGUGACUUGAUGGGAAAUCAGAUUCUGUUGAAUAACUUAUGUGAACUAGCAAGUGGGAUCCAGCAAGGGAGAGGGGUUACAAAAGGCUUGAAAUAACUUUAACCUUAAAAAUAAUGUCCUAAUAAAAUGUAUAACAUUAAAGUGAAGUAGCAGUUUUAACAGUGAGAUUUUGUUGUCAAAUACAGUAAAUUUCUUAAGGAAAAUGUUGGCUUUAUAUGUAUUUCCUAAUUGUGGAAUAGCUAGAAGUUUCAUUAGCUAGAACAAAAUAAGAAGAAAAGGAUUCCAUUAUUAUAGUGAACUGUUAAUAGUGAACUUUUGGCUUUACUGGAAAUCAAUCAGAAGUGCAACUGAAACCUGAUGAACUAUUGCAGGAUCCCUGUCUCCUUUGAGGUGGUAUCAGAAUGUUUUAUUUUGUCUUUGUUGCACAGACGUAAGUGAGUGGAACAAGAGGUGAAGUUUUUAUCUGAUUUGUAUGAUCACAUUAUUUUGUUGGCAAAGCACCUUCUAAAGAAGUUCCAGUUCUUCAAGGAGAAGAGCAUUAAUAAUCAUAGAAUCAUGGAAUGGUCUUUGGGUUGAAAAGGACCACAAUGAUAAUCCAGUUUCAACCCCCCUGCUAUGUGCAGGGUUGCCAACCAGCAGACCAGGCUGCCCAGAGCCACAUCCAGCCUGGCCUUGAAUGCCUCCAUGGAUGGGGCAUCCACA
rnacentral:lncRNA from 1 species